rnacentral:rRNA from 1 species
GCUGCACAACACUAAAGGACAAAAAGACCCUCUGAAGCUUUAUAGGGAUAAAACUUGGGUAACAUCGUGAUCUUAAUUAUCUUAUUGCAUCCCAGCUAAAGCUCUACAGAUUACUGAUUUCUCCUAAGACC